UGGGGAAUUUUGGACAAUGGGCGCAAGCCUGAUCCAGCAAUGCCGCGUGCAGGAUGAAGGCCUUCGGGUUGUAAACUGCUUUUGUACGGAGCGAAAAGGUCUGCCCUAAUACGGUGGGCUCAUGACGGUACCGUAAGAAUAAGCACCGACUAACUACGUGCCAGCAGCCGCGGUAAUACGUAGGGUGCGAGCGUUAAUCAGAAUUACUGGGCGUAAAGCGUGCGCAGGCGGUUAUGUAAGACAGAGGUGAAAUCCCCGGGCUCAACCUGGGAACUGCCUUUGUGACUGCAUGGCUAGAGUGCGGCAGAGGGGGAUGGAAUUCCGCGUGUAGCAGUGAAAUGCGUAGAUAUGCGGAGGAACACCGAUGGCGAAGGCAAUCCCCUGGGCCUGUACUGACGCUCAUGCACGAAAGCGUGGGGAGCAAACA
rnacentral:rRNA from 1 species